GACGAACGCUGGCGGCGUGCUUAACACAUGCAAGUCGAACGGAAAGGCCCUGCUUUUGUGGGGUGCUCGAGUGGCGAACGGGUGAGUAACACGUGAGUAACCUGCCCUUGACUUUGGGAUAACUUCAGGAAACUGGGGCUAAUACCGGAUAGGAGCUCCUGCUGCAUGGUGGGGGUUGGAAAGUUUCGGCGGUUGGGGAUGGACGCGCGGCUUAUCAGCUUGUUGGUGGGGUAGUGGCUUACCAAGGCUUUGACGGGUAGCCGGCCUGAGAGGGUGACCGGCCACAUUGGGACUGAGAUACGGCCCAGACUCCUACGGGAGGCAGCAGUGGGGAAGAUUGCACAAUGGGCGGAAGCCUGAUGCAGCAACGCCGCGUGCGGGAUGACGGCCUUCGGGUUGUAAACCGCUUUCGCCUGUGACGAAGCGUGAGUGACGGUAAUGGGUAAAGAAGCACCGGCUAACUACGUG
rnacentral:rRNA from 1 species